UACAGAGGGUGCAAGCGUUGUUCGGAAUUACUGGGCGUAAAGCGCGUGUAGGCGGCUUUGCAAGUCGGGUGUGAAAUCCCACGGCUCAACCGUGGAAGUGCACUCGAAACUGCAAGGCUAGAGUCCUGGAGAGGAAGGUGGAAUGCUUGGUGUAGAGGUGAAAUUCGUAGAUAUCAAGCGGAACACCGGUGGCGAAGGCGGCCUUCUGGACAGUGACUGACGCUGAGACGCGAAAGCGUGGGGAGCAAACAGG
rnacentral:rRNA from 1 species